rnacentral:lncRNA from 1 species
UUCGAGAAAGGUGAAGAAGUGGGCAGGGAGGUUUGGCUCUGAUCCUUCUUUCCCAGCUCGGCCAAGAGCUGCUCUCUCAACUUUUGCAGUUUUUGGUCCACAUUCUCAUUUUUCGGCCUGGGUUUCUUCUCCAGGCGGUAUUCCUCCUCCUCUGCUUCACUUCUCGUCCACCUAGUUGUCCCGGCGGAAUAGUUGUCAGCCUCAUCAUUCUCUAUCAUCUCCCUCACCCUCCUUCCAUGGACUCGGGCCUCCGGUUCUUCCUCUUCCCCGGCUCUUCUCCCCCUUUCCCCGGUACCACGGCUGCUGGUUUGAAGGCGGUCAGGGGCAGGUUGGGGUUCAUUGGUUUGAGGUUCUUCUACCACUGGGAGUGUACUCAUCGGGGUGCUGAGGCCCCUUUGUUGCAUUAUCUGCCCCAACCAGUGGGCCGUGUUCUGUAGUUGGAGGGCCAUGUUUUGAAGGUCCUGGUUGGAUAAGGUAGCGGUAGGAGCAUUCCCUGCCAAGCUUGGCGAGGGAUUGAGAGGAAUGGGUGUUUGGUUGUUUAGUGUUGUAGGGCUAGAAAAGGAGAACUGAUGCCCCUCUUGGGCAGAGCUCAGGUCAUUUGGGACGUUAAGGUUGCUUUCAUUGUGAUUAGCCAUCGUGGAUCUCAGAGGGUUUUGUUAAGAGUGGAACUCCGGUGAUGAAAAGAUCUCCUCCGUUCCCACAGACGGCGCCAAUUGAUGAUCUGAGAUCCAGAAAAUAGGGUUUACAAUGGGUUCUGUAAAAUCGAAAAAGCUUAGACAUAGAGGAGAGUAUUUCUCCUCUUAUAUGUUUCCUUUUGUCUGCUAGUGACGUGCUAAUGGAACGUAUAUCAUUGGUCCACCUGUCCCUGCUACGUUGAUACGGACGUACGAGGGAAUCAGAUCUCUGCUCCAUGCGUAACGGCCUUUGAUUCUCCCUGUGCGUGUGUAGAUGGGUCCACAAGGCGGGUGGAUGAAUUUUCCUCCUGGUUCCGGGCUGGGCCGGAAGAUAGGAACAAAGCUGGGCCCAAAGGGAGUCGGCCCGAGGAGCAGUGAAGGCUGGGCCGACCUAGUUGAGAAAUUCAGAGGGGGCUUGGUAUCGAGGAUCGAAUGGGCCUGACCUGUCAGUGCAGGGGAUGUAUAGGCUUUCGGAUGGUGAGCCCUUACCGCAGGCUUGGCCCUUGACCGGGAUGGAAAAACCCAGCGGUCAUCAAAACGCUAAACUGUCAAGGCUUCAAGGCAAUCCCGUAAAAACAUGAAUAGUCGAUUUUACUACCCAACACACAUGGCAUAAUCUGGAUAAUUCUUGAAGCCCCGCUUCAAUGGAUGAAAAUUGGAUAUCGACCUAUCUAGUAUCAAAGAUUUAAAAGAGUGAAAAUUUAAAUUUAGCAGUUCCAUCAUCCAAUUGAAGACUUUAGCAAUAAAUUCUAUUAUUUUGACAAUUGCUAUAUGAUAUUUUCUACAGCGGCAAGCAACAUCUAUUUUCCUGUUCUUCUCGAGAAAGCAAAACCUCUGCUCUGUAAUCUUUAAAUAUCUAAUUAACCAAUCACAAAUAAUUCAUCAAUGAAAGAAUUCCAUUAUAAUAAUAUUGAUUUUGUACAAGUAUUAUAGUCCCAAUAACACAAUCAACUCAUCAAGAAUCAAUAGUUAACGAUGGUCUCGAAACAGUUUAACCCAUCAAGCUCCGGUGCAAACCUUGGAGCCUUGCUUGGUGGUUGCUCCCGUUUGCUGUCCUCUGUCGACGGUAAAGAUGAGCUUUGCUGCGGCUUCUUGAUCAAAUCAUGCGUAGUUGCAGAAGCAAAAUCAGAGGACCUGAAUCUGAUAGCUUGGCCCAAUAAUUCACCGCACAGUGCAUCGAAGGAACUAAAGAUGGAAUUCAUGAUUGCUAGUGAAAAUAGUUGAAACAAGUUGAUUUAGGAUUUGGGUUUCUGUAUGUAAAGCGAGCUAUAGGCGCGCUCCAUUUAUAGGAAUCUGAACUGGAUCUGGUCUCCUGAAUGCUUGGGGGAAAGUGAGUCUCCAGUUCCAAAUUGCUUCUUCAUGUGGUCGUAAGAGCCGCGAUUCAAAAGCGUGUUAGGACGGCUUCUUUUGUGGAGCCCACCAGGAAAACGCUUGACCCUCAAUUGUCCAAGUUGGUAUACUAGAUGACUGUAGCAAUGCAGAUUCGAAUUUCGAUGCGUCAACUUGACCACUUUCAGCGGCG